UGAGGAAUAUUGCACAAUGGGCGCAAGCCUGAUGCAGCCAUGCCGCGUGUAUGAAGAAGGCCUUCGGGUUGUAAAGUACUUUCAGCGGGGAGGAAGGUGUUGAGGUUAAUAACCUCAGCAAUUGACGUUACCCGCAGAAGAAGCACCGGCUAACUCCGUG
rnacentral:rRNA from 1 species